AUACGGAGGGUGCAAGCGUUGUUCGGAAUCACUGGGCGUAAAGGGCGCGCAGGCGGUUUGGUAAAUCAGAUGUGAAAGCCCACGGCUCAACCGUGGAAGUGCAUUUGAAACUGUCAGACUUGAGUACUAGAGGGGAAAGUGGAAUUCCCGGUGUAGAGGUGAAAUUCGUAGACAUCGGGAGGAAUACCGGUGGCGAAGGCGACUUUCUGGCUAGAUACUGACGCUGAGGCGCGAAAGCGUGGGGAGCAAACAGGAUUAGAAACCCCAGUAGUCC
rnacentral:rRNA from 1 species